GUCCUUGUAGUUUAACGGAUAAAACAUCUCCCUCCGAAGGAGAAAAUGCAGGUUCAAUUCCUGCCGAGGGCA
rnacentral:tRNA from 1 species